rnacentral:sRNA from 1 species
UCAAAAAUAAAAGACAAGUGUGCAAUCGAGUUAUUGAACGAAUAUCUAUCGGCUGAACUCACCUGCAACGGAAAGACAAAGAACAAAUUCAUUAGCGAGUCAGGCACAUUAUCCGCAAUUAGUUAGGCCCCAGCAGACAAAUCUGCAAAGCAAGCAAACAAACUGCGAAAUGCUAAACCAUAAAACCAGAAAAGUCGUCCAACUUUUCCAGCAACAACCCAACAACAAC